GACGAACGCUGGCGGCGUGCUUAACACAUGCAAGUCGAACGGAAAGGCCCUGCUUUUGUGGGGUGCUCGAGUGGCGAACGGGUGAGUAACACGUGAGUAACCUGCCCUUGACUUUGGGAUAACUUCAGGAAACUGGGGCUAAUACCGGAUAGGAGCUCCUGCUGCAUGGUGGGGGUUGGAAAGUUUCGGCGGUUGGGGAUGGACUCGCGGCUUAUCAGCUUGUUGGUGGGGUAGUGGCUUACCAAGGCUUUGACGGGUAGCCGGCCUGAGAGGGUGACCAGCGACAUUGGGACUGAGAUACGGCCCAGACUCCUACGGGAGGCAGCAGUGGGGAAUAUUGCACAAUGGGCGGAAGCCUGAUGCAGCAACGCCGCGUGCGGGAUGACGGCCUUCGGGUUGUAAACCGCUUUCGCCUGUGACGAAGCGUGAGUGACGGUAAUGGGUAAAGAAGCACCGGCUAACUACGUG
rnacentral:rRNA from 1 species